rnacentral:rRNA from 1 species
CGGCGUGCUUAACACAUGCAAGUCGAACGCUGAAGCCCAGCUUGCUGGGUGGAUGAGUGGCGAACGGGUGAGUAACACGUGAGUAACCUGCCCCCUUCUUUGGGAUAACGCCCGGAAACGGGUGCUAAUACUGGAUAUUCACUGAUCUUCGCAUGGGGGUUGGUGGAAAGGUUUUUUCUGGUGGGGGAUGGGCUCGCGGCCUAUCAGCUUGUUGGUGGGGUGAUGGCCUACCAAGGCUUUGACGGGUAGCCGGCCUGAGAGGGUGACCGGUCACAUUGGGACUGAGAUACGGCCCAGACUCCUACGGGAGGCAGCAGUGGGGAAUAUUGCACAAUGGGCGAAAGCCUGAUGCAGCGACGCCGCGUGAGGGAUGGAGGCCUUCGGGUUGUAAACCUCUUUCGCUCAUGGUCAAGCCGCAACUCAAGGUUGUGGUGAGGGUAGUGGGUNAAGAAGCGCCGGCUAACUACGUGCCAGCAGCCGCGGUAAUACGUAGGGCGCNAGCGUUGUCCGGAAUUAUUGGGCGUAAAGGGCUUGUAGGCGGUUNGUCGCGUCUGCCGUGAAAUCCUCUGGCUUAACUGGGGGCGUGCGGUGGGUACGGGCUNACUUGAGUGCGGUAGGGGAGACUGGAACUCC